rnacentral:rRNA from 1 species
CCAGCUCCAAUAGCGUAUAUUUAAGUUGUUGCAGUUAAAAAGCUCGUAGUUGGAUUUCGGGUGACGCGUUUCGGUCCGCCGUUUCGGUGUGCACUGACGUGCGUCAUCUUUCUGUCGAGGACGCGCUCUUGUCCUUCAUUGGUCAGGACGCGGAGUCGGCGACGUUACUUUGAAAAAAUUAGAGUGUUCAAAGCGGGCUUACGCUUGAAUAUAUUAGCAUGGAAUAACACUAUAGGACUCCAGUUCUAUUUUGUUGGUCUUCGGAACGGGAGUAAUGAUUAAGAGGAACAGUUGGGGGCAUUCGUAUUUCAUUGUCAGAGGUGAAAUUCUUGGAUUUAUGAAAGACGAACUUCUGCGAAAGCAUUUGCCAAGGAUGUUUUCA